ACGCCGCGUGAGUGAUGAGGUUUUCGGAUCGUAAAGCUCUGUUGUUAGGGAAGAACAAGUACCGUUCGAAUAGGGCGGUACCUUGACGGUACCUAACCAGAAAGCCACGGCUAACUACGUGCCAGCAGCCGCGGUAAUACGUAGGUGGCAAGCGUUGUCCGGAAUUAUUGGGCGUAAAGGGCUCGCAGGCGGUUUCUUAAGUCUGAUGUGAAAGCCCCCGGCUCAACCGGGGAGGGUCAUUGGAAACUGGGGAACUUGAGUGCAGAAGAGGAGAGUGGAAUUCCACGUGUAGCGGUGAAAUGCGUAGAGAUGUGGAGGAACACCAGUGGCGAAGGCGACUCUCUGGUCUGUAACUGACGCUGAGGAGCGAAAGCGUGGGGAGCGAACAGGAUUAGAUACCCUGGUAGUCCACGCCGUAAACGAUGAGUGCUAAGUGUUAGGGGGUUUCCGCCCCUUAGUGCUGCAGCUAACGCAUUAAGCACUCCGCCUGGGGAGUACGGUCGCAAGACUG
rnacentral:rRNA from 1 species